rnacentral:rRNA from 1 species
GAUGAACGCUGGCGGCGUGCCUAAUACAUGCAAGUCGAGCGGAAGGACGAGAAGCUUGUUUCUUUGAUGUUAGCGGCGGGCGGGUGAGUAACACGUGGAUAACCUACCUAUAAUUCUGGGAUAAUUUCGGGAAACCGGAGCUAAUACCGGAUGAUAUUUUGAACCGCAUGGUUCAAAAGAGAAAGACGGUCUUGCUGUCUGUUCUAGCUGGAUCCGCGCUGCAUGAGCUAGAUGGUAAGGUAACGGCCUACCAAGGGAACGAUGCAUAGCCGAACUGAGAGGGGGAUCGGCCACACUGGAACUGAGACACGGUCCAGACUCCUACGGGAGGCAGCAGUAGGGAAUCUUCGGCAAUGGGCGAAAGCAUGACGCAGCAACGCCGCGUGAGUGAUGAAGGUCUUCGGAUCGUAAAACUCUGUUAUUGGGUAAGAACAGAUGUGGAAUGAAACGUGGACAUCUUGACGGUACCUAAUCAAAAAGCACCGGCUAACUACGUG